GCCGGAAUAGCUCAGUUGGGAGAGCGCUAGACUGAAGUUGUUUACGCGACAGUCAUCUAAAGGCCCCCCCCCCCGAUUCAAACCCGAGUUCCGGCA
rnacentral:tRNA from 1 species